rnacentral:rRNA from 1 species
UACAGAGGUCUCAAGCGUUGUUCGGAUUCAUUGGGCGUAAAGGGUGCGUAGGCGGCGCGGUAAGUCGGGUGUGAAAUCUCGGAGCUUAACUCCGAAACUGCAUUCGAUACUGCCGUGCUUGAGGACUGGAGAGGAGACUGGAAUUUACGGUGUAGCGGUGAAAUGCGUAGAUAUCGUAAGGAAGACCAGUGGCGAAGGCAGGUUACUAACAAUAUAUUGACGCUGAUGGACGAAAGCGUGGGGAGCGAACAGG